rnacentral:lncRNA from 1 species
GUUGAGGCAAAAUCCACUUUUGAUGUUUUAAAGAUUACAAACAUCUUUAAUUAUAUUUUAAAUGAUUCUGAUCAUUUUGUUAUCUAACAAGUGCUUUUGAGUGGCAUAAGAUUAAAUAGAUUCUAACAAACCACCUGCAAAGUAAAAAUCCUGCAAAGCUGUUUCAAGACCAUUCUAAGAACAUUCUUAGCAGACAGACUACAGUUUUGACAAUAAGCACGUUUUAGAAUAAGUGCUUUCUGGUUUUUCAAGUCAACUAAGAACAAAACAAAUAAGCACUUUACAAUGGAUUUAUGGACCAAAUCACUACAGGAGAUAAUCUCUUUUGGGAUCAACAACAUGUGAUGGAAUUGAAGUAUAUGCUUUCCUAGUCACAUAUCAUGAAGAAAACAAUGAGCUUGAUCAAUUGUGGUAUUGGCCAACCAAUGAAUACAUCUGAUAUAAUAUCAUGGACCAAUCACAAAGGAACAACCAGAUUUAAACUAUGAGUUGUAUUGUACUUAUGCAAAGUACACAAGUGGAACAUUCUUCCAUG